rnacentral:rRNA from 1 species
UACGUAGGGGGCGAGCGUUGUCCGGAGUUACUGGGCGUAAAGCGCUUGUAGGCGGUCCACCAAGUUUGGGGUGACAGUUGCCGACUUAAUCGGCAAAGUGCCUCAAAGACUGGCGGACUUGAGGGCCACAGAGGGACAUGGAACUCCAGGUGUAGUGGUAAAAUGCGUAGAUAUCUGGAAGAACACCAAAGGCGAAGGCAGUGUCCUGGGUGGUCGCUGACGCUGAGAGGCGAAAGCCAGGGGAGCGAACGGG